rnacentral:lncRNA from 1 species
GUUGAAGAAAAACAAGUAUGCUUCCUCUACUCCCUGUUCAAUAGACCGUUCCAUAUAAGAAUUGAUUUCUUGACUACGUUCAUUCUCCUAUUAUACAAUUGUUGGUUGAAUCAAUUCCUUCUAUUGCAGUAGCCUUGUCAUUUUUAAAUCUCAUCUAGCAGCUAUUUCCAAAUCACCAUGCCUAAGCCAAAGAAUUUCCAAAGGAACCACUACUAAAAACCUUUUCACGCCAAGCAUCAACAUCACCCACCUUCUUGUUCAUGGAACCACCUCAUCUUUGUACAUACUGGCCUUGUCUCAAAGUACUAUUACCAGGUUUCAUUCUAAGUCUCCCACUCUAGUC